UAUUACAAUUAAUGAAAUUCUGUAAAAACUUAAUCGAAUACUAAUCGAAAACUUAGUGCUACUUUAAGUGUUUUCUUCUUAUCAUUUGUCUACAAUCUACAUCAAUUAUAGCUAUCCAUAGUCCAACACAUAAUGAUCAAUUACAAUUAACUUUCAGAUGAAUUUAAAAAAAUACAAACGACGACAGGCAAGUCCCUAUACCUAUACAGAGAUUACACGUACUCACCAGCGUGUCCGCAUUUGAGCGGAAAGGGGGCAAGGUGGCGAUGCAGUGCGGACAGAAAUUGUAAAGCUUAUUUCAUUAUUAGUCGCGAUGGGGAUUUCGUUCAACUGAACUGUAAUCAUACUCAUGGACCGAGAAAUUACGUCCAGUUAUCGAACGAUCAGUUAAAGAAGAUUACACUACAGAAUGGGAAAACCUAUUAUCUCUACAAAGGUUACACGUAUAGUUUAAUCCCAGGUUCGGCAACGUAUGGUACAAGAUGGCGCUGCACUAAGAACAGUAAAUGUUACGUCAACAUGAUGGUCGGACAUGAUGGCGAGAUUUUAAAGAUAAAGGGUGAUCACAACCACCAACCAUCACAGUAUAUCCAGCUUCAGAACGGGAGAUAUCAUUGUUUCAAGAUGUUAUAAGAAUAAAAUUGUAUUCAUAA